rfam:Wallemia sebi CBS 633.66 unplaced genomic scaffold WALSEscaffold_22, whole genome shotgun sequence.
GUCAGGAUGGCCGAGUGGUUAAGGCGUUUGACUCGAAUAAUUCAAUGAAUUUACAGGUAUCAAAUACCCAUGUGGUGCGCAGGUUCGAAUCCUGUUCCUGACG